rnacentral:rRNA from 1 species
UCCCAGACUCCUACGGGAGGCAGCAGUGGGGAAUAUUGCACAAUGGGGGAAACCCUGAUGCAGCAACGCCGCGUGAGUGAAGAAGUAUUUCGGUAUGUAAAGCUCUAUCAGCAGGGAAGAGAAUGACGGUACCUGACUAAGAAGCCCCGGCUAACUACGUGCCAGCAGCCGCGGUAAUACGUAGGGGGCAAGCGUUAUCCGGAUUUACUGGGUGUAAAGGGAGCGUAGACGGCUGGCCAAGUCUGAAGUGAAAGCCCGGGGCUUAACCCCGGAACGGCUUUGGAAACUGGCCGGCUGGAGUGCUGGAGAGGCAGGCGGAAUUCCUGGUGUAGCGGUGAAAUGCGUAGAUAUCAGGAGGAACACCAGUGGCGAAGGCGGCCUGCUGGGCUUUAACUGACGCUGAGGCUCGAAAGCGUGGGGAGCAAACAGGAUUAGAUACCCGGGUA